GAGCGCGCGGCCGUCUGCAGGAGGUUUGCUGGAACGCGAUCCUGAGGUGAAAUUUCUUUAAGAGGUUUUAAAAACUUUCUACACUGUGGAGUACGGCUGCGAGUGAUGUGAGCAGGAUCCGCAUGCUGGAUAAGAACAGCAUUUGUGAGACGACAUCAACUCAACAUCCGAGUGGACAAGAACACCCACAGAGGAAGCCAAGUCGCAAAAACAACGAAAAAUGUUCAUGACUUUAUUUGAAAUAAAAGUUUUGUGUUAAUAAAAAUGAAGUGUUGGCUUAAUUAUAGUGUUGUAAAGAGGUUUUGAAAUAAGUUGUUUUAAAAU